rnacentral:rRNA from 1 species
UACGUAGGGUGCAAGCGUUGUCCGGAAUUAUUGGGCGUAAAGAGCUCGUAGGCGGUCUGUCGCGUCGGCUGUGAAAACCCGGAGCUCAACUCCGGGCCUGCAGUCGAUACGGGCAAACUGGAGUGUUGCAGGGGAGACUGGAAUUCCUGGUGUGGCGGUGAAAUGCGCAGAUAUCAGGAGGAACACCGGUGGCGAAGGCGGGUCUCUGGGCAACAACUGACGCUGAGGAGCGAAAGCGUGGGGGAGCGAACAGG